rnacentral:rRNA from 2 species
GUUAUAUUAGAGAUCGCCCUAAUUGACAAUGGUCACGAGAAGAGGGGGAUUAGAAGCUUGCUUCAUGACGUUAGGAGGCGGACGGGUGAGUAACACGUGGGCAACCUGCCUGUAAGACUGGGCUAACUUCGGGAAACCGAAGCUAAUACCGGAUAGGAUCUUCUCCUUCAUGGGAGAUGAUUGAAAGAUGGUUUCGGCUAUCACUUACAGAUGGGCCCGCGGUGCAUUAGCUAGUUGGUGAGGUAACGGCUCACCAAGGCAACGAUGCAUAGCCGACCUGAGAGGGUGAUCGGCCACACUGGGACUGAGACACGGCCCAGACUCCUACUGGAGGCAGCAGUAGGGAAUCUUCCGCAAUGGACGAAAGUCUGACGGAGCAACGGCGCGUGAGCGAUGAAGGCUUUCGGGUCGUAAAACUCUGUUGUUAGGGAAGAACAAGUACGAGAGUAACUGCUCGUACCUUGACGGUACCUAACAAGAAAGCCUCGGCUAACUACGUGCCAGCAGCCGCGGUAAUACGUAGGUGGCAAGCGUUAUCCAGGAAUUAUUGGGCGUAAAGCGCGCGCAGGCGGUUUCUUAAGUCUGAUGUGAAAGCCCACGGGUCAACCGUGGUAGGGUCAUUUGGAACUCGGGGAACUUGAGUGCAGAAAAGAAAAGCGGGAUUCCACGUGUAGCGUUGUAAUGCGUACAGAUGUUGAAGGACCACCAAGUGGCGUAGGCGGCUUUUUUGGUCUGUAUCUGACGCUUGAGGCCCGAAGCCGUGGGGAGCCAAACAGAUU